rnacentral:tRNA from 1 species
ACCUGGUUGGCUCAAUUAGUAGAGCAUGUGACUCUUGGUCUCAGGGUUGUAGGUUCAAGUCCCACAUUAGAUG